rnacentral:rRNA from 1 species
AGUGAACGCUGGCGGCAGGCCUAACACAUGCAAGUCGAACGGCAGCACAGUAAGAGCUUGCUCUUACGGGUGGCGAGUGGCGGACGGGUGAGGAAUACAUCGGAAUCUACUUUUUCGUGGGGGAUAACGUAGGGAAACGUACGCUAAUACCGCAUACGACCUACGGGUGAAAGCAGGGGAUCUUCUGACCUUGCGCGAUUGAAUGAGCCUAUGUCGGAGUAGCUAGUUGGCGGGGUAAAGGCCCACCAAGGCGACGAUCCGUAGCUGGUCUGAGAGGAUGAUCCGCCACACUGGCACUGAGACACGGUCCCCACUCCUACGGGAGGCCGCAGUGGGGAAUAUUGGACAAUGCGCGCAAGCCUGAUCCAGCCCUACCGCGUGGGUGAAGAAGGCCUUCGGGUUGUAAAGCCCUUUUGUUGGGAAAGAAAAGAAGCAGGUUAAUACCCCGCUGUUCUGACGGUACCCAAAGAAUAAGCACCGGCUAACUUCGUG